rnacentral:ncRNA from 1 species
ACUCUAGUCUGACACUGUGAAGAAGGCCUUCAGAGGUGGGAGGCCCCCACAGUUGUGCAACUCAGACCAGUUGCCAGUGAAAUACUACUCCUAAUUUCUACCACUUACCCAGUGAGGUUUGUGAGUGAGUGAGUCCCAAAGGGCUCUCACUUCUGAUGCCAAGUGCCUGGCACGACCAGCUCCAGUGUCAGGUAGGUAGCUUGACUGGGACAGUACCCCUGUCAAACCAUAACACAGGUGUCCUACAAGCUAAGGGAGGACAGAAACCUCCCGCAGAACAGAACAGCAAGGUUUGAUUUUGAUUUUCAGUACAAAUAUUGUCCAUGAGAGCAGAGACACAAUCCUUCUGACCUUUUGGGUUUUAAGUAGGCA